rnacentral:tRNA from 1 species
CGGCAGACGCAAGGGACUUAAAAUCCCUCGGGCUCCGGCCCAUGCGGGUUCGACUCCCGCCCCGGGCACCA